rnacentral:rRNA from 1 species
AUACGGAGGAUCCGAGCGUUAUCCGGAUUUAUUGGGUUUAAAGGGUGCGCAGGCGGCCAUUUAAGUCAGCGGUUAAAUCGUGGGGCUCAACCCCAUUCUGUCGUUGAUACUGGGUGGCUUGAUUGCGGUCGAGGUUGGCGGAAUUCGUUGUGUAGCGGUGAAAUGCAUAGAUAUGACGAAGAACACCGAUUGCGUAGGCAGCUGACCAGACCGCAAAUGACGCUCAUGCACGAAAGUGCGGGGAUCGAACAGGAUUAGAUACCCUGGUAGUCCGCACAGUAAACGAUGAAUACUUGUUUUCGGCGAUAUAAUGUCGGAGGCAAAGCGAAAGCGAUAAGUAUUCCACCUGGGGAGUACGCCGGCAACGGUGAAACUCAAAUGAAUUGACGGGG